AUUGAACGCUGGCGGCAGGCUUAACACAUGCAAGUCGAACGAUGAUUAUCUAGCUUGCUAGAUAUGAUUAGUGGCGGACGGGUGAGUAACAUUUAGGAAUCUGCCUAGUAGUGGGGGAUAGCUCGGGGAAACUCGAAUUAAUACCGCAUACGACCUACGGGUGAAAGGGGGCGCAAGCUCUUGCUAUUAGAUGAGCCUAAAUCAGAUUAGCUAGUUGGUGGGGUAAAGGCCCACCAAGGCGACGAUCUGUAACUGGUCUGAGAGGAUGAUCAGUCACACCGGAACUGAGACACGGUCCGGACUCCUACGGGAGGCAGCAGUGGGGAAUAUUGGGCAAUGGGGGCAACCCUGAUCCAGCCAUGCCGCGUGUGUGAAGAAGGCCUUUUGGUUGUAAAGCACUUUAAGCAGGGAGGAGAGGCUAAUGGUUAAUACCCAUUAGAUUAGACGUUACCUGCAGAAUAAGCACCGGCUAACUCUGUGCCAGCAGCCGCGGUAAUACAGAGGGUGCGAGCGUUAAUCGGAAUUACUGGGCGUAAAGCGAGUGUAGGUGGCUCAUUAAGUCACAUGUGAAAUCCCCGGGCUUAACCUGGGAACUGCAUGUGAUACUGGUGGUGCUAGAAUAUGUGAGAGGGAAGUAGAAUUCCAGGUGUAGCGGUGAAAUGCGUAGAGAUCUGGAGGAAUACCGAUGGCGAAGGCAGCUUCCUGGCAUAAUAUUGACACUGAGAUUCGAAAGCGUGGGUAGCAAACAGGAUUAGAUACCCUGGUAGUCCACGCCGUAAACGAUGUCUACUAGCCGUUGGGGUCCUUGAGACUUUAGUGGCGCAGUUAACGCGAUAAGUAGACCGCCUGGGGAGUACGGCCGCAAGGUUAAAACUCAAAUGAAUUGACGGGGGCCCGCACAAGCGGUGGAGCAUGUGGUUUAAUUCGAUGCAACGCGAAGAACCUUACCUGGUCUUGACAUAGUGAGAAUCCUGCAGAGAUGCGGGAGUGCCUUCGGGAAUUCACAUACAGGUGCUGCAUGGCUGUCGUCAGCUCGUGUCGUGAGAUGUUGGGUUAAGUCCCGCAACGAGCGCAACCCUUUUCCUUAUUUGCCAGCGGGUUAAGCCGGGAACUUUAAGGAUACUGCCAGUGACAAACUGGAGGAAGGCGGGGACGACGUCAAGUCAUCAUGGCCCUUACGACCAGGGCUACACACGUGCUACAAUGGUAGGUACAGAGGGUUGCUACACAGCGAUGUGAUGCUAAUCUCAAAAAGCCUAUCGUAGUCCGGAUUGGAGUCUGCAACUCGACUCCAUGAAGUCGGAAUCGCUAGUAAUCGCAGAUCAGAAUGCUGCGGUGAAUACGUUCCCGGGCCU
rnacentral:rRNA from 1 species